ensembl:lncRNA
GCACUUGAGGUGGAAGUAUAUUCCUCCUAAUCUGAUACAUAUUUUCCUGAUUCUAAGCUCCUUCUGAAAUGGGCCACACACAUUGAAUUGGGAAUACCCAGCUGGAAAAAAAGAGAGUGGCAAGAACCAAAGCAACAGAAGGAAAAGUCACAGAGAAUGCUUUAGUAGUUAGCAGCCUUGCUGGAGCUAAAUGUGUUGAGUUUGCCUGAACAGAGGUGCUGGGGUGGGAAAAAGAACAUAACUCACAUAUGUGAAGGGUAUUGAUACCCUGGAGGUAAACAAAGUACAUAGCAUGCUAUAAAGAAGGGUAACCAGAGUAAUGGGGUGAAACCAAAGGAGGAUGUCCUGGAAUAUAAUAUUAGAAAUAAACUUCCAAAUGGAGUGUCCAUCAGAGUGUGAAAUGGGCUUACUAGAAAAAAGAAAAAACCUAGCAUGCCGGUUCAGUUGACAUUGCAAAGGUUAGGACUCAGAGCUAAUGAAUGAGAAGGAGGAAGACGCAAAGAGGGUGUGUGUUCAGAGUGACAGAAUAAGCAAGGUGGAACAUUUGGCCGGGCUGGGGCUGUUGGCCCAAGGGGCAGUGGUGGGUUUUUUAGAACACUCUCCAAACUGCAGAAUAGUCAUGGAGCUGAGUUCAUUCAACAGCUGCUCUGAAUCUGGGGAUGCUCAAGUGAACCGUCUGUAUUUCUGAACCAGAACUUGAGCUUUUGGUCACUUUAGGACCAUGGCUUCUCAAACAGGACUGCCUGUGUUCCCACAGCAUUCUUAUUGUUACUGUUUAUGGAGUCAACACUAAGAAUUUAUGUAGAAAAUCAUGUUGUAAGCUGUCUUUUGACUUUCCAAAGAAAUUGCAGGAUUGUCACUGAUCUUGAGACAUUUUCCAUUAAAGCUGUAUGUAUGUAUGUAUGUAUGUAUGUAUUUUUGGUACCGGGGAUCGAACUCAGGACCUUGCACUUUCGAGGCAGGCGGUGGAACCACUGAGCUAAAUCCCUGACCCUAAAGCUGUAUUUAUUAAAAGGGCCUAGAGGAUGUCCCUGACACCUCCCCAAGUCACCCUGUAAGGCAGGAGCUUUAUUUAAUCAGCAGGAGUUUCCAGUGCUGUGUGUAUAGUCUGGAGAAAAGUCUUCCUGCUCUGUGGACCGAUCUGCUUUGAAAAUGCGGUUCUGCAAAGCUAGAUAGGCAAAGCAGUCCCUCCACACAAGGUGAGAGUGACUUUUCCCCACUCAGAAGGAUGGUUCUCCAUAGAACAGCGAGGGUGUGUGGGACCAAAGCACCUUGUCCCUUUAACUUCUGUUAACUGCUUUUCAAAUACCCCAUGGAGAAAUAUUUGCGUCAAAAAGAAGGCUGUGGCUUCCUCCAGGUUCUCUUUGAAUGAGAUUAGUGUCUUCCUGGAUUUCCCUUCCUUCCUUCUUUUCCUUCCAAAUUGCCCCUCCUUAGCCCCCUCCUUUCCUUCUGACUCAUCUUCCUCUUACUCUGUAUUUUUUAAGAAUUCAUGAAUUGCUUAAAAAUUUUCAAAAGUGAUUUUUACAUCUGUUCUUUUAAAAAAGUCAUGAAGUUCAAGAAUGAAACCAUCCUUAAUAUAUUAGUCUAUAGGAAGAAAAGCAGACUGCGUUAAGAAGCAAAUAAUAGAAGUGCAACUUUAAUUUUUUCCAGUUGCAGAGUGACUCAAAGAGGAUUCCACUCCCACCACAUGGUAAAAAAACACCCUGCUCACUGCCAUGGGUGGGGUGGGUCAGAACACUGACCUGGCAAAGAAGCAGAAAAGUCACAGUGCCCAGGUGGCCCAGGGAGGGUGCCGUGGCUGCCUGUUCCCCACAGUGGGACUGCAGACCUGGCAGGAGAACUGGAGAGGAGCAGCAGCCCGUAAGUUCCCCUGAGAGAAACUUGUCCAUGCCUGCUGAUGAGAUAAGCCUGUCCCCAGAUGCCACCUCCCUGCCCUGCACUCUGGCCUGCAGCAAGGCCUGCUGGGCCACUUUUACAGUUUCAGGGACUCAGGAGCCUCCUCCAGGAGCCAUCUGAUCAGUGAGGCAUCACUCAGUGACCCAGAACCAUGCAGCAUCUGUCUCUCCAGGGUGCAACGGGGUUUGAGGAGAGAGGGAAAGAGGAAUAACUGGGAGAUGAAACAGGAAGCUCUGUGACACACUUGAUCGAAAAUGACACAGAUCGAAAAAUCAGGAUUUGACCCCCACCUCCAGCACCUUUACCUGCUGCCAGCAGAUCACAGCUGGAAAGCAGGCGAAGGGUUUGCCCUGGGACCAAAUUCUAACCACCAUGGAUUCUUGAGGGCCUCUGCACUCACUGGUGAUGUGUCUGCGAUAUUUUGGUCACUGUCAACUCUGGUCAGUUUCCUAUUUAUCUGGUCAGUGUCUUGUGUCUUACUCCUUUCUCCUUCAUUAAAAGCAAAACUAAAGAAAACUGAAUUGUUUGUUUAUUAGCUACAUUUGAACACUAAUUUAAGGGAACAGUGUUUGAGAUGAAUUUCUCCAAGGCCACAAAUAAAAAUCUUAUCAUAACCACACGGAUCAUCAUGACAUCGUUAUAUUGUGUUGAACUUGAAUCUUUUAUUACUCAGCCAUGUUUGUCCUACUUCUUAUAUCUCUUUAGAUCUCCCUUGAGUCAGUAUGAGCAAGUUGACAUUUGAGAAGAGCAUUGGGAUUCGUCUGAAAGUCUCUUUCCACACCCACCCUGAUCGAGGACUGUAGCUGUGAACCCAAGAUUACUCCCAACCUUGAGCUUUACACUGGAGAGACCUCAGAUUUCUUUGCUCCCUCUCGUACUCCACAGAUCCAUCACCUCUUUGCUUAUUCAUUCCAUAUAGAUUUCUCUGGGACCCACUGUGUAGCAGGUUCUGGAGAUAAAGUAGUGGACAGGAUCAGCUCUGUCCACUUUCUGGGCAUUUCUAGCCUCCUUAUGAGCGGGCUUUGUUCAGUAAGUGUCAAGGAUUGCUGUGUGCAGCUUGUCACGGGCAUUGUAUUGAGAUGCACUGAUUCCCUGGAUCCACCCACUCUUCAAACCUGAGACACUGGGUUUGGCACUUGGAUAUUCUUUGAAAUGAUUGAUUUCUUCUGCAGAGUCCCUCUGUUCACCAUAGUCACAAGCAGGACAGUGUGACCUUCCUGGGGACAGGCCAAAGAGGCCAUUGGUAGCCACCUCCCAGUUCUUUUUUUUUUUCCAGUACCUGGGAUCGAACUCAGGACCUUGAGCUUGCGAGGCAGGCAGGAGCAUGACUGAGCUAAAUCCCCAGCCCCUCCCGUGCUUUUUGCCCAUCUUCACUUUUAAAUGUCC